AUUGAAAAUCACGCAGAAACUUUUAGUCUGGGUUCUUAUGUCCAUCCGCGCGCUGGGGAACUUAUCGAAAAUUUGACAAU